UGGGGAAUUUUGGACGAAUUGGGGGCAACCCGUGAUCCAGCAAUGCCGCGUGUGUGAAGAAGGCCUUCGGGUUGUAAAGCACUUUUGUCCGGAAAGAAAACGCCGUGGUUAAUACCCGUGGCGGAUGACGGUACCGGAAGAAUAAGCACCGGCUAACUACGUGCCAGCAGCCGCGGUAAUACGUAGGGUGCAAGCGUUAAUCGGAAUUACUGGGCGUAAAGCGUGCGCAGGCGGUCCGCUAAGACAGAUGUGAAAUCCCCGGGCUUAACCUGGGAACUGCAUUUGUGACUGGCGGGCUAGAGUAUGGCAGAGGGGGGUAGAAUUCCACGUGUAGCAGUGAAAUGCGUAGAGAUGUGGAGGAAUACCGAUGGCGAAGGCAGCCCCCUGGGCCAAUACUGACGCUCAUGCACGAAAGCGUGGGGAGCAAACAGGAUUAGAUACCCUGGUAUCCAGUCGCCCUAAACGAU
rnacentral:rRNA from 1 species